AUCCCCCAGUUGAUGCUCUUCUCCUGGUCAUCCUGACGAUUGUGGUGGUCUCGUCGUGCUCAUCAUGCCUCUUCUGUGAGUUUUUUCAUCUCUGCUCCAUAGAGAUAAUUGAUAUAAUUUUCGGGAGUAUUUCAAGAGCCGUAACUUAUCAUCAACUGUCAGCACAUUGCCUUCAUGUAAUAAGUUCACUAGUGGGAUUAUUUAUCUACUCUAAACGAAUAUGCAUAAAUGUUGGAGAAAUAGAUUCCAGAAAUAAGAAUGGUGCAAAUCAGAUAGCAUUUGCACUUGUAUUUCAUCACGUGCCUCAUAUACUUCUAGUGAACCUGUACAAAAAAUAUGCACAUUUUAAUAUACUAAAGGCAAUGAACCUGUACGAAAAUAUGCACAUUUUAAUAUACUAAAUUAGACAUUUAUGAAGAAGACACAAGAGCUUUUCGCUCAAAAUCCUCUAAUCACUGAUGUAGUUUAAGGUAAGUGAUUUCUCAACAUAAUUAGUUAAGCCCAGUCCCAAUGUUCAGAAAACGUAAGAGCUCGUGUCAUACAGAUGCCGCUAUGAUAAUACAAAAUACUGAUAAAAUAGUUGUGGCUCAGAAGCGUCGAAGCAAAUCACACGUAGAACUUGGCCAUAUUAUUAGGUUCUGCAGCCAAAUAUGAAACAUGCCACUGUUGAAAGGCACUGUUAAAAAAAAUUUGUUGUAAGAUCUCUGUUUUUCAGAGUUAACUUGGCUCCUGAAAGAUUUUUAAACACACACUUACUAUGUAGCUUCACACUUGACUUGGGCAUGAUAAGUUUCAGAGUUCACACAUGAAGUCUGAAAGAUUCAGGGCUAACGUUCAGCUCUAAAUCAAAUUCAGAGUUCAGAGUACAAAAUAUACAUAACGCUUACUGUUUACAUGCAUGCAUGACUCAGUUCAAAUUGUUUACAUCCAAGUGAAGAUCCAACGAAAAGUACAAAAUUGAUUAAAGCACCAAAUGCUACUAGUUUAUCCAAAUCUGUAGUACAAUACUAGAAGGAUUACUUAAAUUGCAAGACUUCAGAAAGAGAAAAGUAGGAGCUUACCUGAAUAAAACUCAU
rnacentral:lncRNA from 1 species